CGGGUAGGACACCGGUCACCUGACCACGGAGAAGAUUGUGGCUAACAGUAAUAUUGCUCUCAGAGACAUAGCUUUCGUCAUUCAAGGUCCCCGACGGCGCUGACGGUGACCAGGGCGACAGCCUCGUAUCCGCUGAGACCGUUGUCCGAGCCGAAGUCAACGGCGGUCAGCAGGAACGACGAGAGCACAAAGAGCGACACCGCCCGAGAUGCCGCCACGUGAAGGAACUGCGCGGACACCAGCGAGCGCAUGUUGCGUGCGAGCCUCCUCGACGCUGCCUGGAGUUGUAUACGGUCAAUUCUGCGAAGUUCUUCAGAGGGCGAGCAGGAGUUCUCAAGAGCUUCAAGUGCAAGUUCAAGUGCAAGAGCUCAAGUGCAGAGACCCGUUAGGGCUUUCACCAGAAACG